UAUGUCACCAGACAAAGGCGCUUGCAGUGACAGCCUCGCUCCACCGGGUGUCACCACUGCGCGCUAUGAUGUCAUAUCUUUUCCCAGUCCGCUGCUUUUCCUCCACGUCAUGCAUUCCUGUAGUGACUCCCUGAUCCUGCAGCGGUCAUAAACACGCCUGGAGCCGCCUCUGCCACACAGAUCAACCUGACACGCUCUCCCACGUCGAAGACGUUUUCCGAAAGAAGCGGCCGAGCAGCAGCUGAGCUGGUCGUCGGGAUGCAAGAGACACGGUCCGUGUCCAGAUGUUGGAGACACGCGGCUCUCUUUCUCUCUCUCUUUUUCUGACUCUCUGCUGCUGCUGCUGCUGCUGUCCGUGGUACCGCCAAUCAAACACCGAUUCAGACGCCAGCCUGUUACCUAGCAACCCCUUUUCACUUCAAUGGUGACGCUAUUAAAAGCAACAUCACACAGAGAUAUUCAACAAAAGAAAAAGUGGAAAAUGGAUAAAAAUGAAGUGAGAGUGAAAACAUAUUUUAGCAGCAAGAAAAGCAGGCAGAAUCAGGAGGCGACAGUGUCUGGAGAGGAUGGUGACACACAGAAAAAGCGAGUUGGACCCGAACAAAGAAACAAGUGAGCGUUUCUGUUCAGCUUGGAAGGGAGCAGCUUGCCAGAUCGCCUGCCAGUUGGUGCGUCCCUCAGAUCUGCAGAAGGCCUCGCUUCAUCUUCCACUGAAUCUUUAGUCGCCCAUUAAACCGCUAAUGCAGUUUUAUUAGGAAAUACUCUGCGCCGUAAUGAACAAAUCUGACAUCGGAAAAUGAGAGCGCUUACUGAACUUAAGUGAUUUCAAGUGACUAAUAAUCACGCGCUCAGGUUAACCGAGGCAAAACCCCGGAGGUCACCAAUCAUCAGAUGCUCGUCGACAUGAAGGCCAGACAUGAAUCAUGGUCUAAUGUGAUGGACAGUCACCAAGCUUACUCAUUAAAUGAUUUAAAAAGUUACAACUUUGUAAAAGCCACA